AAGAGAAGCUUGCUGUCUCCUUGAGAAGCGGCGGACGGGUGAGUAAUGCCUAGGAAUCUGCCUGGUAGUGGGGGAUAACGUUCGGAAACGGACGCUAAUACCGCAUACGUCCUACGGGAGAAAGCAGGGGACCUUCGGGCCUUGCGCUAUCAGAUGAGCCUAGGUCGGAUUAGCUAGUUGGUGAGGUAAUGGCUCACCAAGGCGACGAUCCGUAACUGGUCUGAGAGGAUGAUCAGUCACACUGGAACUGAGACACGGUCCAGACUCCUACGGGAGGCAGCAGUGGGGAAUAUUGGACAAUGGGCGAAAGCCUGAUCCAGCCAUGCCGCGUGUGUGAAGAAGGUCUUCGGAUUGUAAAGCACUUUAAGUUGGGAGGAAGGGCAGUUACCUAAUACGUGAUUGUUUUGACGUUACCGACAGAAUAAGCACCGGCUAACUCUGUGCCAGCAGCCGCGGUAAUACAGAGGGUGCAAGCGUUAAUCGGAAUUACUGGGCGUAAAGCGCGCGUAGGUGGUUUGUUAAGUUGGAUGUGAAAUCCCCGGGCUCAACCUGGGAACUGCAUUCAAAACUGACUGACUAGAGUGUGGUAGAGGGUGGGUGGAAUUUCCUGUGUAGCGGUGAAAUGCGUAGAUAUAGGAAGGAACACCAGUGGCGAAGGCGACCACCUGGACCAACACUGACACUGAGGUG
rnacentral:rRNA from 2 species